CCCAGACUCCUACGGGAGGCAGCAGUGGGGAAUAUUGCACAAUGGGCGAAAGCCUGAUGCAGCAACGCCGCGUGAGCGAUGAAGGCCUUCGGGUCGUAAAGCUCUGUCCUCAAGGAAGAUAAUGACGGUACUUGAGGAGGAAGCCCCGGCUAACUACGUGCCAGCAGCCGCGGUAAUACGGGGGGUGCAAGCGUUGUCCGGAAUCAUUGGGCGUAAAGCGUUCGUAGGCGGUAUGUCAAGUCUGAUGUUAAAGCCCGGGGCUCAACUCCGGUUCGGCAUUGGAUACUGGCAAACUAGAAUGUGGUAGAGGUAAAGGGAAUUCCUGGUGUAGCGGUGAAAUGCGUAGAUAUCAGGAGGUACAUCGGUGGCGAAAGCGCUUUACUGGACCAUUAUUGACGCUGAGGAACGAAAGCCAGGGGAGCAAAUGGGAUUAGAUACCCCCGUAAAC
rnacentral:rRNA from 1 species